AUGAACGGGGGCUUGGCGAGGUGCAUUCUGGAGCCAUUGUGGAGCUUAACGCUCUCUGGUUUUCUUUGUGCUGUGAAGCCUGUGCUACUGUAAUAGCCGGGGGCAGAAAAAAGCUGUCUGUCGUCGGGCCGGCUAGCAACACUUGUUUCACCCGCACGUCAAGCAGGGCAAAGAGAAUAGAGCAAAGGCAGCUGGCAAGCUGAACAGAGAGUGUAAUGGUAACAGUGUCAACAGCUGCCUCCGCGGCCACAGAGGGCAAAUGGCCGGCACCAACAGAACCGAGGGCUUUAUGCUGGAAGCUCAGUCAUUACAGAGGCGAUGACAAGAUGGCCGCCGUGUAAUGCUAAGUAAACAGAGGGUAGAGUGAAGAGGUGACUGGCAGCUGGAGACACGGACGUGUGGAAGAGAAAGACAUAGGCAAGUAGAAUUCUCCAAGCUGUUCUCCCAGGCUGUAACACUGACCUCUACCUCAGGUCAAGAUGACCCCCUCAAGAGUCAAUAAAUCAAGAUGUCACCUCUCACACCCAGUUCCCUCUGCUAUCACUAACUUUGAGAGUCCCAAGAAUUCUUUCACUUCCCCUGCGUCAUGGCUGACCCUGAGUCCAAACAAACCGCCUGUCAUCGCCGCAGCGACAGGAAUAUACAUUGCAGAGGGAAUCAUCAAUCCGGUUACCUGUCACAGAGGACGAAUCGCAAUUCCCAUUCCUGCCGACAUUACGUGAUUUCAUUUAUUGAGAUUAUCUGCAACUAUAUAGAACCCAGGAUUAUUUCUCAGGUCCAGUGGUCUGCGCGAAGGGAUUUUUCUGGAUGGGGCAGGUGCAAAUGUAUUCCUCGGGGAAGUGCUGCGAUGUCCAUCCUCCAGUCGAGUCCCAUCCUCCUCCCAAUCAGCCCCAGCUUGAAAACUUUCCCUGGCACUGCACCCUCAUGCUGGGAGACACCGCUGAGUGUGGUCUGAAAUUAUUCCUCAUUUGAGGGACUCGUAGUUCGUAGGAUUUCCAUUAAAACUUGCCACUACACUGCAAGGCCUGCCUUUUUAUUUUGGAUGAUAGUUUACUGGACAAAUGUGUCGGUCCAUUCCAAACGCGGUCCAACUGGGCCAGAAUGUGUCUGUUGUUACAGUGAUGUCUGCUGCGGUCAGCUUUGUUUUUUCACUUCGGGCACCUGUGGUUGGACAAUUCUUACGAACUAGAUAAAUGACAACAAAGAAAUGCCAUUAAAUAUAUCCAUUAUGAUUUCCAAAUUUGUGGUGUUGUUUGAUGAAAAUGAUCAAUAAAAUGUUAUAUCCAAUGCUGAAAGACUGGGGCAGGAAAUGUACCGGUCAUGUAUGCAAAUGAUGAUUUGGGGUGAAACUGACAAU